rnacentral:rRNA from 1 species
AUGACCAUAAAUAAAAGCCAAUGUCAAUCCCUAAAGAAGGUGGGCUUAUAUUUGCCUAAGCAUGUCAUCUUCCAUGGGCAACUAUAUGUGGCAUUAUCAAGAGUCACAUACACAGAAGGAUUAAAGGUGUUGAUUGACGACAUAGAGUGCCCAAGCGAAGAUAGCGCAAAGAAUAUAUAUAGUAUACAAAGAGAUCUUCUAAUUUUAGAAGAUCUCUUUGUAAAUCAUGACCUUAGUAAGAACAUGACAAUGCAUAUUAUUAUUGCCAUACAGUGCUUUCAUGCAUACAAAUGUUAA